rnacentral:rRNA from 1 species
CGGGUGAGUAACACGUGAGUAACCUGCCCCCCUCUUCUGGAUAACCGCAUGAAAGUGUGGCUAAUACGGGAUAUUCUGCGCCUGCUGCAUGGUGGGUGUGGGAAAGAUAUUGUUUCGGUGGGGGAUGGGCUCGCGGCCUAUCAGCUUGUUGGUGGGGUGAUGGCCUACCAAGGCGGUGACGGGUAGCCGGCCUGAGAGGGUGGACGGUCACACUGGGACUGAGACACGGCCCAG